GUUCGGGCUCCGGGGCGGGCUCAGGUGCCUUGUCGGCAGCCUUCUUGGCUGGGGACUUCUUGAUGGGGGCAGGUUUGCCUGGCAUCUUGCUGAUAGACGGCCAGUACUGUGGAUGAAGCGGUCAGGACGGGUCUUAGAGUGUAGCCUGCAGAGUGGGAUCCAGACAGCCCUCCCGCUCUGGAGACUCGAUGUAGUUGGCUGACUCCUGGAGCUUCAACAACAUGGCCAUCUGGGUAGCAGGAGGAGACAAAGAGGCAAUCAUAGACAGCCCAGUUUUUAAGCAAGAGGCCAUCUUUCAAGCAGUGACAUACCUCUGUACGGUAUGAUGGAGUGGUUCCACAGAUCGAUGAACCAUUGCCUGAACUCUGCCACUGAUACUGGGCAGGACAGGAAGAAGCAGGGACCUACAUGGAAGGCAAAGUUUCAGGUUAACAGAUUUCAUGCUGCGGACCA